GCCUUGUUGGCUUGGUUGGUAGCGCGUCUGCCUUGUAAGCCCUAGACUGCGGGUUCGAUUCCCGCCGGGGCG
rnacentral:tRNA from 1 species